rnacentral:rRNA from 1 species
GACGAACCGUCCAACGUUAUUCGGAAUUAUUGGGCUUAAAGGGUGCGUAGGCUGUGCAGUAAGAUUGGGUCGUGAAAGUCCCUCGGCUCAACCGAGGAACUGCGCCGAAUACUGCUGGUGCUAGAGGAAGAUAGGGGUAAGCGGAAACUGAUGGUGGAGCGGUGAAAUGCGUUGAUAUUGGCAGGAACACCGGAGCCGAAAGGGAAGCACUGGGGCUUAACUG